UUCUGCAUUCGUGUUUUGAUUUAGUCUCUGGUACUAAUUCCGUAAUAUUUACGCUAAAAGUUUGGUGAAAAGGUUUUUAAUUUUAUAGUCUCCUUACAUAAAAGCCAUGCAGCAGUUUCGCCUUCUGGAUAAAUGAUGACAUGCAGCUGAAGAAGAUCGCCAACUCAACAAAGAGCACACAAGAAAAUUAUCAUCUCAAGUUUGCCAUGUCUCAGCUGAUCACGAAGGAUCUUCAGCCUGCCUUCAUCGAGCAUAACGUACUAAACGUUUUGACGGAUUAAUAAGCUCCGUUACCGAACAAAUCGUUGCCUUGUUUGCAGAUUCGAGAAUCUAUUCUGGAACUUCUUUUCGAUUUUCCUUGUAUUGAAAAGUCCUAUCUCAAAUAGCCAGGAAUUGAAAAGGCCGUGAUGUACCUCUACAAGCACCCUCGAGAUUCCAAACUAAACCGAUAGCGCGCUGGAAAAUUGAUAUCCGAAUGGGCUCGACCUAUAUUCAACCUGAGCACCGAUUUCAAAGCGAUAUCACGUGAGGAACGUCAGGAACGAGACUUGCAGCAGAUGUCCAAAAAACGCAAAACCUCGCCGGACCCACAGGGUCAGAGCAGUACCAGCAAAAAGGGCUUACCGUUCACCGAGGCUAAUAAGGGCGUAUUACGAUCCGGAAGCAAAGGAUGGGUACAAUGGGCUCGCGUUCCCAUGCCUUCGGGUAAGGAGUACAUUGUUCGGCCAAAAUCAACAAGUGAUAUUGUUAUGACUCGGGUAAUUAUUCCUACAUCUUUGAAGCUGAAGUUCUAGAGAAAAAAGCGAUAAAAGUAGAAUAAUAUAAGGAUAAUAAAAUUAGGCUG